rnacentral:rRNA from 1 species
AUUGAACGCUGGCGGCAUGCCUUACACAUGCAAGUCGAACGGCAGCACGGGAGCAAUCCUGGUGGCGAGUGGCGAACGGGUGAGUAAAGUAUCGGAACGUGCCCAGUCGUGGGGGAUAACGUAGCGCAAGUUACGCUAAUACCGCAUACGAUCUAUCGAUGAAAGCGGGGGAUCGCAAGACCUCGCGCGAUUGGAGCGGCCGAUAUCAGAUUAGGUAGUUGGUGGGGUAAAGGCUCACCAAGCCGACGAUCUGUAGCUGGUCUGAGAGGACGACCAGCCACACUGGGACUGAGACACGGCCCAGACUCCUACGGGAGGCAGCAGUGGGGAAUUUUGGACAAUGGGCGAAAGCCUGAUCCAGCCAUGCCGCGUGCAGGAUGAAGGCCUUCGGGUUGUAAACUGCUUUUGUACGGAACGAAAAGGUUUGGCCUAAUAAGCUGAGCUCAUGACGGUACCGUAAGAAUAAGCACCGGCUAACUACGUGCCAGCAGCCGCCGUAA